rnacentral:tRNA from 7 species
GGAAGUGCCAAGGUCACUGGUGGGCCUCCUGGACUUCAAAUCCAGUGUGGGGCGCUAGAACCGUCCCAGGUGGGUUCGAUUCCCAUGCACUUCCGCCA